rnacentral:rRNA from 1 species
CCGUGUGCCUACAAGCCGUUGGAGCCUGGAAGAUCUUUGGAUCAGGGUGACAGCGUGCCUUUUGAAGAAUGAGCCUGCGAGUUAGUGAUAUGUGGCGAGGUUAACCCGUGAGGGGCAGCCGUAGCGAAAGCGAGUUCGAAUAGAGCGAAUGAGUCGCAUGUUCUAGACCCGAAGCGGAGUGAUCUACCCAUGGCCAGGUUGAAGCGAAGGUAAGACUUCGUGGAGGACCGAACCCACCAAUGUUGAAAAAUUGGGGGAUGAGCUGUGGGUAGGGGUGAAAGGCCAAUCAAACUCCGUGAUAGCUGGUUCUCCCCGAAAUGCAUUUAGGUGCAGCGUCACGUGUUUCUUGUCGGAGGUAGAGCACUGGAUGGGCUAGGGGGCCUACAAGCUUACUGAACUCAACCAAACUCCGAAUGCCGAUAAGUGAGAGCGUGGCAGUGAGACUGUGGGGGAUAAGCUUCAUAGUCGAGAGGGAAACAGCCCAGACCACCAACUAAGGCCCCUAAGCGUGUGCUAAGUGGGAAAGGAUGUGGAGUUGCAUAGACAACCAGGAGGUUGGCUUAGAAGCAGCCAUCCUUGAAAGAGUGCGUAAUAGCCCACUGGUCAAGUGAUUCCGCGCCGACAAUGUAACGGGGCUCAAGCACAUCGCCGAAGUUGUGGCAUUCACACCGAUAACCCGGCCGUAAGGUCCAGGUGUGUGGAUGGGUAGGGGAGCGUCGUGUGGCGAGCGAAGCGGCGGGGAGACCCAGCCGUGGACGCCACACGAGUGAGAAUGCAGGCAUGAGUAGCGAAAGACGGGUGAGAAACCCGUCCGCCGGAUGACCAAGGGUUCCAGGGCCAGGCUAAUCCGCCCUGGGUAAGUCGGGACCUAAGACGAGGCCGACAGGCGUAGUCGAUGGACAACGGGUUGAUAUUCCCGUACCGGUUUACACGCGACCAUGACGAGCCCAGUGAUGCUAAGCCCACAAAGUCGAGGAACUCUUCGGAGGGAAUCGGUGGAGUGCGCGAACCGAACUGAUAGUAGUCAAGCAAUGGGGUGACGCAGGAAGGUAGCUCAACCGCGGCGAUGGUAGACCGCGGCCAAGGUUGUAGGGCGAGAUGUAGGCAAAUCCGCAUCUCAUGUGCCUGAGAACUGACGGGGAGCCGACUUAGGCGAAGUGAGUGAUCCUAUGCUGCCGAGAAAAGCCUCUAGCGAGUGUGUAAGCCGCCCGUACCCCAAACCGACACAGGUGGUCAGGUAGAGAAUACCGAGGCGAUCGAGUGAACUGUGGUUAAGGAACUCGGCAAAUUGCCCCCGUAACUUCGGGAGAAGGGGGGCCGCGGCUGGUGAUGGGACUUGCUCCCUGAGCUGGCUACGGCCGCAGAGACCAGGUGGAAGCGACUGUUUACUAAAAACACAGGUCCAUGCAAAGUCGCAAGACGACGUAUAUGGACUGACGCCUGCCCGGUGCUGGAACGUUAAGGGGACCAGUUAGUUCUUCGGAGCGAAGCUGAGAACUUAAGCGCCAGUAAACGGCGGUGGUAACUAUAACCAUCCUAAGGUAGCGAAAUUCCUUGUCGGGUAAGUUCCGACCUGCACGAAUGGCGUAACGACUUCCACGCUGUCUCAACCGCAGACUCGGCGAAAUUGCACUACGAGUAAAGAUGCUCGUUACGCGUGGCAGGACGGAAAGACCCCGGGACCUUUACUACAGCUUGGUAUUGGUGGUCGGUUCGAUUUGUGUAGCAUAGGUGGGAGACUUGGAAGCCCGGACGCCAGUUCGGGUGGAGUCAUCGUUGAAAUACCACUCUGAUCGUAUUGGCUGUCUAACCUCGAUCCGUGAUCCGGAUUAGGGACAGUGCCUGGUGGGUAGUUUAACUGGGGCGGUUGCCUCCCAAAGAGUAACGGAGGCGCUCAAAGGUUCCCUCAGCCUGGUUGGCAAUCAGGUGUCGAGUGUAAGUGCACAAGGGAGCUUGACUGUGAGACUGACAGGUCGAGCAGGGACGAAAGUCGGAACUAGUGAUCCGGCGCCGGCAUGUGGAAGCGGCGUCGCUCAACGG